rnacentral:rRNA from 1 species
CGUGCCUAAUACAUGCAAGUCGAACGCACCCUCGUUUAGAUUGAAGGAGCUUGCUCUUGAUUGAUAAACAUUUGAGUGAGUGGCGGACGGGUGAGUAACACGUGGGGUAACCUGCCCUAAAGUGGGGGAUAACAUUUGGAAACAGAUGCUAAUACCGCAUAAAACCUAACACCGCAUGGUGUAGGGUUGAAAGAUGGUUUCGGCUAUCACUUUAGGAUGGACCCCGCGGUGCAUUAGUUAGUUGGUGAGGUAAAGGCUCACCAAGACCGUGAUGCAUAGCCGACCUGAGAGGGUAAUCGGCCACACUGGGACUGAGACACGGCCCAGACUCCUACGGGAGGCAGCAGUAGGGAAUCUUCCACAAUGGACGAAAGUCUGAUGGAGCAACGCCGCGUGAGUGAAGAAGGUUUUCGGAUCGUAAAACUCUGUUGUUGGAGAAGAAUGUAUCUGAUAGUAACUGAUCAGGUAGUGACGGUAUCCAACCAGAAAGCCACGGCUAACUACGUG